ensembl:lncRNA
UUACGGUACAGAGUCAAUGUGGAGGCUAUAUACAGGGUAUUACGGUACAGAGUAAAUGUGGAGGCUAUAUACAGGGGGUACCGGUACAGAGUCAAUGUGGAGGCUAUAUACAGGGGGUACCGGUACAGAGUCAAUGUGGAGGCUAUAUACAGGGGGUACCGGUACAGAGUCAAUGUGGAGGCUAUAUACAGGGGGUACCGGUACAGAGUCAAUGUGGAGGCUAUAUACAGGGGGUACCGGUACAGAGUCAAUGCGGAGG